UACGGAGGGUGCAAGCGUUAAUCAGAAUUACUGGGCGUAAAGCGCACGCAGGUGGCUGAGUCAGUCGAUUGUGAAAGCCCUGGGCUUAACCUGGGAAUUGCAGUCGAUACUACUCAGCUAGAGUAUGGGAGAGGGUAGUGGAAUUCCCGGUGUAGCGGUGAAAUGCGUAGAUAUCAGGAGGAACACCGGUGGCGAAGGCGGCUCUCUGGGCCUUACCUGACGCUGAGGAGCGAAAGCGUGGGUAGCGAACAGG
rnacentral:rRNA from 1 species